rnacentral:rRNA from 1 species
UACGUAGGGUGCAAGCGUUGUCCGGAAUUAUUGGGCGUAAAGGGCUCGUAGGCGGUCCAUCGCGUCGGGAGUGAAAAGCUGGGGCUUAACCCCAGUCCUGCUUCUGAUACGGGUGGACUAGAGGUAGGUAGGGGAGAACGGAAUUCCUGGUGUAGCGGUGAAAUGCGCAGAUAUCAGGAAGAACACCCGUGGCUAAGGCGGCUCUCUAGUACGGUACUGACGCUGAGACGCGAAAGCGUGGGGAGCGAACAGG